CGUCGUUCUGACCUGCCAUAAUCUUUGCUUGGUUGGAAUGGUGUCCUUGCAGUAGGAGAGACUGCAGAAGUAAAUUAUUAGCUUUUUAAGUUCUGUGGAACAAGAAAGGGAAGCUUAAAUAUGAUGAAUACCUGUUGCCAUCGUGCCUGAAGUAUCGAUGAAGUCUAAUCUUGCUUUGGGUUUUGACUCAAAGCAACUGGAAUAUUCAACUGCUUUAUAAGCUAGUGAAAGUGGGCUGCGUAGAUGCGAUUACAGGUUAAGGUUGUAAGAACAAUCAGGACCUCAGAAGAGAUUCCUUUUCCCAGUUACUCAGAAUCUACAUAGAUGAAGUUUUAAAAAGCCUGUUAAAUGUAGAUAUUCGCUUGGCUGUGGGAGAGGAGGGUAAUUGGCUUGCAAUUUGUUUUAUCAUGACAUUUCCACUCUGGCCUUCCAUUCCCCAGAAACUGAACUCAGUGACGCUCUUGGAAGAAGUGACCUCAUCAUGACAAAAUCCAAUCCCUUAUGCACCACCAGCUCAACCAUAAACCCAGGAGUCAUCCCUAAUUCGCUUUUUUCCUUGCCCUUUGUGCCACAAAGCCAUUUUGUCUCCACCUCUAAACUUCUCUCCAGCCCCCUUUUCCCUUCUGAUGCACGGGCACCCAUUUCUCCCUAGACUGCCUUCUUCAGUGUUCCUAAACAGCAGAUACCUAGUUCACAGGCCUGCUUACACAAUGGUCUCCUAAUGUUAUUCUUCACACAAAUGUGUUUUUAAAGUCUGUGAGAGAGGCCGGGCACAGAGGUUCACGCCUAUAAUCCCAGCUCUUUGGGAGGCCAAGGCAGGUGGAUCCCCUGAGGUCAGGAGUUCAAGACUAGCUGGGCCAACAUGCCGAAAUCCCGUCUCUACUAAAAAUACAAAACUUAGCUGGGCGUGGUGGCAGGCACCUCUCAUCCCAGCUACUUGGGAGGCUAAGGCAGGAGAAUUGCUUGAGCCCUGGAGAUACAGGUUGCAGUGAGCCAAGAUCGCACGAUUGCACUCCAGCCUGGGUGAUAAGAGUGAAACUCCAUCUCAAAAAUAAAUAAAUAAAUAAAUAAAUAAAUAAAGUCUAUGAGAGAAAUUUGAUUAGCCACUCUUUCACAAAGUAUGAAGAAGAAACUGUGAGACAAACUAAAUAAGAAAAUGAUGCUAUUAAGAAAUACUAUUGGAAUGAUUGACCAAUUCCUUGUCUGUGUCAGGUUUUGUGUAUAAGGCAUGUCUCUCCCUUUAAGGAGUCUGCAAUCGUGUUACUGGGGAAAUGACUUACUAGAAUGCAAGCAAAACAGAUUAUAAUAUAAGAUACUCAAAACCGGGUGUCAGUUAUGUAAAAAAUAACCUAUAUGUGGUGGUCCAUUUUUAAUUUUAAGUGUCUUAGUAUAGGUUUAAGCAGGCUAUGUGGAAAUAAAGAGAUAAAGAAGCAGAAUGUACUGAGCCACCCCUGCCCCCAUCCUGCUUUCUCCUUUCACUUGGCAGCCAGGUGCCUAUCGGUCAGGGCCCCCUUAAAUACCCCCUCCCCACCCCACCGAAGAAUUUAGUUUAGGCUAGCUUGCAACAUAGAUAAUUUUAUCCUUUCUUAUCAGCAAAGCACAGCCACUAGGGCCAUACGUCAAAUGUUCGAAGAGUCCUGAGACAGUCACAAUGCAUUAUGGGAUGCAAUAAAAUGCAGCAGAAAGACCCUAAUGAACAUACUCGAAAACUUAAUCCAACUACCAAUAUUCGACGUCCAGGAAGAUUGUAACCUCAUAGUACUCAGCCAAUGAGGAACUGGGGGAGGGACUUGUGCACUAGGGAGUAAAUUUCUUGUUGAAGCCCUUCUGGGUGUGCCUCAUGCCAGACACCCAAUCUUGCAAGACUGCCAUUAAAGUCUUGCUUCUUCUGUUCUCUGUGUCCCUGAGUCCAUUCUUUGGGUUUGGA
rnacentral:lncRNA from 1 species